AUUGAACGCUGGCGGCAGGCUUAACACAUGCAAGUCGAACGAGUGGCGGACGGGUGAGUAAUGUAUGGGAACCUGGCCUGUAGCGGGGGAUAACUACUGGAAACUGUAGCUAAUACCGCGUACCAUUGGAUGAGCCCAUGUGGGAUUAGGUAGUUGGUGAGGUAAAGGCUCACCAAGGCGACGAUCCCUAGCUGGUCUGAGAGGAUGACCAGCCACACUGGGACGGAGACACGGCCCAGACUCCUACGGGAGGCAGCAGUGGGGAAUUUUGGACAAUGGGGGCAACCCUGAUGCAGCCAUGCCGCGUGUAUGAUGAAGGCCUUCGGGUUGUAAAGUACUUUUGGUAGAGAAGCGUUAUCUGCAGAAUAAGCACCGGCUAACUACGUGCCAGCAGCCGCGGUAAUAC
rnacentral:rRNA from 1 species